GAUGAACGCUGGCGGCGUGCCUAACACAUGCAAGUCGAGCGAACAGACGAGGAGUUUGUUCCUUUCACGUUAGCGGCGCACGGGUGUGUAACACGUGGAUCACCUCCCUAUCAGACUGGGAUAACUUCGGGAAACCGGAGCUUAUACCGGAUAAUAUAUUGAACCGCAUGGUUCAAUAGUGAAAUACGGUUUUGCUGUCACUUAUCGAUGGAUCCGCGCGGCAUUAGCUAGUUGGUAAGGUAACGGCUUACCAAGGCAGCGAUGGGUAGCCGACCUGAGAGGGGGGUCGGCCACACUGGAGGUGGGACGCGGACAUGGCGACUACGAGACGCAGCAGUAGGGAAUGGUCCGCAAUGGGCGGGAGCAUGGCGGAACGGGGGCACGUGUGUGGUGAAGGUCUUGGGUUCGUGAAGCUGUGUUAUUAGGGAAAAACACAUGUGUAAAUAGCUGUGGACGUCUUGACGGUACCUGAUGAAGAAGCCACGGCUAACUACGUG
rnacentral:rRNA from 1 species